AGCCUUUGCAGGUCCAGAGGGAAAGAACACAGGUGGUUAUCCUCUUCGUGUUAGCCAAGCCUAUGUUAAGGACUGGGAUUCUGAGCAUACCCAAAUCUAUAUGAAUCACUUCGAGUUGGUGACAAUGACUGCUAGAAAAAGAAGUUCCUCAAAGAGGUUUCUCACAGAGGUGUUUCACAGGGGCCCUUCUCUUGUCAAAAACUCCGUGAUGACUUUUAACCUUGAGUUUGUGUCAAAGAGUCAAACCUCUGCUUGUGCUGAUGUAAAGAGAAGCUUGAAGUGCUUCAGUAUUGCUCCAUGGGAUGCACCAGGAGGGUCAGCCCAGGCUUUCAACUCUUUGCUCUGGUCUAACAGUGUAGCUGCCAUAUUUCUAGUGCAGAGAACUAUGACAAGCUCCUACCAAUGUCUGGGGUUGUUUCCACCUGUGCAGAGCCUUCGACAGUGCAGGAAAAGGCCUUGAGUGAAGAACAAAUAGCUCCUCAGAUGCAGGAGCAACAACCUAGCCAGCAGCAAGCAGGGGAACAAACAGUGGAGCA